rnacentral:rRNA from 1 species
GUAGGGGGCAAGCGUUAUCCGGAUUUACUGGGUGUAAAGGGAGCGUAGACGGCACAGCAAGUCUGAUGUGAAAGCCCGGGGCCCAACCCCGGAACUGCAUUGGAAACUGCUGGGCUUGAGUGCAGGAGAGGUAAGCGGAAUUCCUAGUGUAGCGGUGAAAUGCGUAGAUAUUAGGAGGAACACCAGUGGCGAAGGCGGCUUACUGGACUGUAACUGACGUUGAGGCUCGAAAGCGUGGGGAGCAAACAGGAUUAGAUACCCUGGUAGUCCACGCCGUAAACGAUGAUUACUAGGUGUCGGGGGACCAAGGUUCUUCGGUGCCGCCGCAAACGCAAUAAGUAAUCCACCUGGGGAGU